rnacentral:misc_RNA from 1 species
GCCAACCAACAUAAUGUCUAUACCUCAACUUGUUUGGAACAGAAGCGUAGUUGUUGUUUGUUACAACAUACUAGCGGCCGGUGAAAUCACUAAAAGUGUUGGUUGCAGUUGAAGCUGAUGAUCCUGUAGUCAUGGAUGCGUCGAAUGCUUUACUCUUAUCCAUGCUAAUGAUAGUAGGCCUGCUUGGAGUUCUUGAUUCUGUGCUACGAUCGCUUA